UGAGGGGAAGUGACAUGCCCAAUGUGAACUCAAGGCCUGUGCCAGAGCAAGGAAUAGAUACCACUGCAGGGCUAUGAGAAAUAUGAAGAAAGAUGGCAGCGAGGAAUGCAGACCACGACUCGUGGUAGACAAUACAAAGCUAUAUCAGCCAGCUUUCAUCCCAGCAGAUUCACUUGUACUGUGUCAACAUAUAGCAUGGAGAUGAGGGACUAAGGGAGCACACCAGUCAAGUAAGUGGGGGAGGAGAGAACGGCAAAGUUUACAAACCCCAUAUUUACAUCAGAAAAAACAUUGAGCCUAGACAGGGCUGUAGACUGGAGUCACAUGAAAUUUGCUUGUUUUUUUUUAGUUGACAAAAUUAUACAUAAAAUGAGAAAAAUCUCAUUUCAGCAAGGUGCAAGCAGCGGCUUCAACACUAGGUACACUGUCACCAUAGGAAACAGUACAGCACAUUUACAAAUAUACAAAUCCAGGGUUAACAAAACAGGAGGCAGAAACGAGAAGCACUUAUACAAAAAAAAAAAAAAAAAAAAAAAUCAAUUUCAAGAGGCAGUCAGGUCAAGUAGCUUAAACUUCACUGUCCAAGAAAAGAGUUCACAGCCUUCUUUUGUCUUCCUACACUUUGGGAACUUAAUUUUUUUUAAAAAGUGUUAUAUGUAUGUAUCUGGAGAGAGAGAGAGCC